CAAUUUUUAGUUAAUUAAAUUUCAAUGUAUUUGUUUCGUUACGCAUUAUCUUUGAAAAAACUUUUUUUUAUUCUUUCUUCUUUUUUUUUCUUUCCGAUCGCGUUAUCAUCAUCAACUGCUCAGCUCCGAUCAGCUUGACGGUCAAAAGCCAACUAAACGUCCGUUCGCAUCGUGAACUAUUCAGAGCCGUUCAAAACUGAAAUACUCAUUGUCCAUUCUACCGACUGGUUGCGCUUACGUCGACGGUAUAUGUGUCGUUUUCGUCAAGAAUUCAUUUAUUCCGGAGCUAGUGCUUGUCGCGGCAACUCGAUCGCGGCUCUUAUCUGUUUAUCGAUUGUGUUAUUAAAUUUUGAUGACAAUUAAAUUAUUUCUAAACUUUCUGAAGACACUUCGCAAUUUUUCAAACAGUAAUCACCUCUGUCUCCGAGACUAUUUCAGCGAUUCGAAGCCAUAUGCUACCGUCUUUGUGAUAUCACCUGCUGGUUUCAUGCUGACAAUUUGGGAGCGAAACGAUAAAAGUGCAGCCAUAAACAAAUAACGGCCAGGCCAAUCUAUUUGAGUCGUCACCGUGGAUUCGUUCCUCAUCGACCUGCACCACUGGACUUUUCAAGGGAUUCGCUCGACCUACGCAAAAACCACAUUCGAGAGCAGAUACCACCCACUACAGAUAUCCAGAUUAAUCGGCGAAGCAAUCUUUAUCUUCAAUCACCCUUCGUCUGCCU